rnacentral:sRNA from 1 species
AAGGAAAUCUUUUUCUUUAUGAGAGCUAAAAAUAUCAAAUGAAUUUGGUAUAAGGUCUUUGUCAAAGAAAUAAUAGUUUGUAAUGUAGUGAUCAUAGCAUAACUAAGUUUCGAAUGAGAGAGUAAGAGUAGCUAUACUAGAGCCUUUGCCUUUUUCUUCACAACAUUAGAAUUUGAAGAAACCUUAACUUAUUGACUAAGUAGUGAGGAAAGAGUAGUUAUCACUAAUGCCUAAUUAGGCAAAUGGAUGGAGGUUGAUUGCAAUUGUAAGUAGCCCUAUUAACUUUUUUCCUUCUUGUCCCUUUAAGAUGAAAACUCCCUGAUUCAAGCAAGUACAAGCAAUUUUUAAGCAAAUCUACUUAACAUUUUUGAAGUACAAAAUAAGGAUUUUUCGGGCCGUUUUUUUUUUUGGUUUUACCCGGUUUUUUACCCGGUUUUUUGGCCCAUUUGCUGAAACUCUUUAAUAUUUAGCCCACAUCCUAUUAUUUUAAAUGU